rnacentral:rRNA from 3 species
CUUAGGUCAGCGGCGGACGGGUGAGUAACACGUGGGUAACCUGCCUGUAAGACUGGGAUAACUCCGGGAAACCGGGGCUAAUACCGGAUGCUUGAUUGAACCGCAUGGUUCAAUCAUAAAAGGGGGCUUUUAGCUACCACUUUCAGAUGGACCCGCGGCGCAAUAACUAGUUGGUGAGGUAACGGCUCACCAAGGCGACCAAGCCUAACCCAACUGAGAGGGUGAUCGGCCACACUGGGACUGAAACACCGCCCAAACUCCUACCGGAGGCAGCAGUAAGGAAUCUUCCGCAAUGGACGAAAGUCUGACGGAACAACGCCCCGUGAGUGAUGAAGGUUUUCCGAACGUAAAACUCUGUUGUUAGGGAAGAACAAGUACCGUUCGAAUAGGGCGGUACCUUGACGGUACCUAACCAGAAAGCCACGGCUAACUACCUGCCAGCAGCCGCGGUAAUACGUAAGUGGCAAGCGUUGUCCGGAAUUAUUGGGCGUAAAGCGCGCGCAGGCGGUUUCUUAAGUCUGAAGUGAAAGCCCCCGGCUCAACCGGGGAAGGUCAUUGGAAACUGGGGAACUUGAAUGCAGAAGAAGAAAAUGGAAUUCCACGUGUAGCGGUGAAAUGCGUAAAGAUGUGGAAGAACACCAGUGGCGAAAGCGACUCUCUGGUCUGGAACUGACGCUGAAGCGCGAAAGCGUGGGGAGCGAACAGGAUUAGAUACCCUGGUAGUCCACGCCGUAAACGAUGAAUGCUAAGUGUUAGAGGGUUUCCGCCCUUUAGUGCUGCAGCAACGCAUUAAGCACUCCGCCUGGGGAGUACGGUCGCAAGACUGAAACUCAAAGGAAUUGACG